rnacentral:pre_miRNA from 1 species
AGUGUAAUUGCUGGAUCGGAUGGUAAGAGUAUGUUUAGUUUUAUAGGAAACUGCCCAACUGUCUUCCAAAGUGGCUGUACCAUUUUGCAUUCCUCCAGCAGU